UGUACUCUCACACUCUCCAAUCUUUUCGAUGGGGAGCGGUGGACUUGGGUGUUGCUGCUUCACUGUGGCUCACCUCAAAUGUGUUAGUGCAACUCCUUGGUUGGACAUAGUACGGCAUGAUAAGUAUCUUUGCCGGCACCUCACAAGAGGGUGGCCAAUUGGGAGCUCUGUGCUUCAAACUGUCUUUGGACAAUCUCCUGACA
rnacentral:misc_RNA from 1 species